rnacentral:rRNA from 1 species
CGCACGGGUGAGUAACACGUGGGUAAUCUACCUUUCGGCGGGGGACAACACUUUGAAAAGGGUGCUAAUACCGCAUAAGUCCACUUCGGUGGGGAAAGAUGGCCUCUCCUUGGAAGCUAUCACCGGAAGAUGAGCCUGCGGCCCAUCAGCUUGUUGGUAGGGUAAAAGCCUACCAAGGCUACGACGGGUAGCUGGUCUGAGAGGAUGAUCAGUCACACUGGAACUGAGACACGGUCCAG